UACGAAGGGGGCUAGCGUUGUUCGGAAUUACUGGGCGUAAAGCGCACGUAGGCGGAUAUUUAAGUCAGGGGUGAAAUCCCGGGGCUCAACCCCGGAACUGCCUUUGAUACUGGGUAUCUCGAGUCCGAGAGAGGUGAGUGGAAUUCCGAGUGUAGAGGCGAAAUUCGUAGAUAUUCGGAGGAACACCAGUGGCGAAGGCGGCUCACUGGCUCGGUACUGACGCUGAGGUGCGAAAGCGUGGGGAGCAAACAGG
rnacentral:rRNA from 1 species